AUGGCUGUCGUCAGCUCGUGUCGUGAGAUGUUGGGUUAAGUCCCGCAACGAGCGCAACCCUCGCUCCCAGUUGCCAGCGAGUCAUGUCGGGGACUCUGGGGGGACUGCCGGUGUCAAACCGGAGGAAGGUGGGGACGACGUCAAGUCAUCAUGGCCCUUACGUCCAGGGCGACACACGUGCUACAAUGGCCGGUACAGAGCGUCGCCAACUCGUGAGAGUGAGCCAAUCGCUAAAAGCCGGUCUAAGUUCGGAUUGUAGUCUGUAACUCGACUACAUGAAGCCGGAAUCGCUAGUAAUCGUGGAUCAGCCAUGCCACGGUGAAUACGUUCCCGGGCCUUGUACACACCGCCCGUCACGCCAUGGGAGCUGGAGGGACCCGAAGCCGGUGUGCCAACCGCAAGGAGGCAGCCGUCUAAGGUCAAUUCAGUGACUGGGGCGAAGUCGUAACAAGGUAGCCGUAGGGGAACCUGCGGCUGGAUCACCUCCUUUCUGGAACGCCGAGUAGCCGGCCGUAGUUUGGGCCGGGUGAAAGGCCUCCUAGUCGCCCGCACUUCUCACCUCACCGGUUGAUUACUUAGCUAAGCCGCGAGCCUUUGGGCUCGAGGCGAACGCUCUUUGACAACUGACGGAAUGCAUGGAUGGAAAUUGGAGUCGAGGAUCACCGUAGUUUCUUCUAAUUGAGAUCAAGCACAAUACGGCGCACGGUGGAUGCCUUGGCACCGAGAGGCGAUGAAGGACGUGGUAAGCUGCGAUAAGCCUGGGGGAGCUGCACACAAGCUGUGAUCCCAGGAUUUCCGAAUGGGGAAACCCGG
rnacentral:sRNA from 1 species